AGCGAACGCUGGCGGCAGGCCUAACACAUGCAAGUCGAACGAACUCUUCGGAGUUAGUGGCGGACGGGUGAGUAACACGUGGGAACGUGCCUUUUGGUUCGGAAUAACUCAGGGAAACUUGUGCUAAUACCGAAUGUGCCCUUCGGGGGAAAGAUAUAUCGCCAUUAGAGCGGCCCGCGUCUGUUUAGCUAGUUGGUGAGGUAACGGCUCACCAAGGCGACGAUCAGUAGCUGGUCUGAGAGGAUGACCAGCCACACUGGGACUGAGACACGGCCCAGACUCCUACGGGAAGCAGCAGUGGGGAAUCUUGCGCAAUGGGCGAAAGCCUGACGCAGCCAUGCCGCGUGAAUGAUGAAGGUCUUAGGAUUGUAAAAUUCUUUCACCGGGGACGAUAAUGACGGUACCCGGAGAAGAAGCCCCGGCUAACUUCGUG
rnacentral:rRNA from 1 species